rnacentral:tRNA from 1 species
GCAUUGGUGAUUCAGUGGUAGAAUUCUCGCCUGCCAUACGGGAGGCCUAGGUUCGAUUCCCAGCCAAUGCA